CUGUUUACCAGAGAGAGUUGGAUGUUUAUACGUUCAAGGAUACGACCAACCUUUCUCAAAAAUAAAAGUCACAUCCGAGUUGAAACAUUACGACAAACGUAUUAUUGAAUGUACGUGGGAAAAUAACCAGUGGAAGUUUUUGCGUGUUCGUGAAGAUAAAUCGUUCCCAAAUGCAUUAAAAACAGCACAAAGCGUUUGUGCAAGCAUCACUCACCCUGUUACCAAGGAGAUAUUAAAUGACUAUAUAAAUAAGUAUUUAUUUCGUACACACGGGGCUCCACAGUUUCAUUCCAAAUAAUACAUUUGAAUUCUGCUGAGUAGCAUUUUCAGGGCACCAGUGCGUCAGUUAUCGUUUGAAAUAAGUGGAGUGGUUGGAUUUAAGAGAGCUGAUUUUUUUUCUUAGCUCUAUUUUAAUACUAAAUAAGCAUGAGCAAUUUAAAUAUAUUACUUAUUUAAUCGGCAUUCAAAAAAUGUUCGUCGUAGAAAAGAUAAAGAGGAAUAUAAACGAAAGAAUAAUAAAGUAUUAUCUAAAACGUUUAAAGUGCAAUUUUCAUUAAUACAGUAAAAUUCUCUUAAAUGCAGUGAAAUGUUCAUAAAUACAGUGAAAUAUAAAUAGAGGUAACUGCAGGAGUAAACAAAGAAUUACAUUAAUUUAUUUCUACCAAUUGGAAAACUACAUGAUCCAACUGUUUUAUGACGUUUUAUUUUAGAUGCAGUCUGUAGAAAAUACUUUAUUUUCCUUUUCUCUGAAAUAUUUAAAAUCUCUGAAAUAUUCAAAUUUAAUAUUGAAUAUCACUAGUAUAAAAAUUAAUAUUGAAAUGUUUGUCAUUAUUAAGAAUUUCUUUAAUCAAACAUCUA